UACAAGUCCCACUAAAUGGGGUAAUAUGUGUUACAUAUGUACAAAUACAAGGUAAAAACUAGAAUUCACUCGAUUAUAAAACGAUAAUAAGGUCGACCCUCGCCAUGAAGUCCGGCUAGGGUCAGUUGACAUGUUCAAAACAACACAUAUAUACAACUUCACCAAAUAACUUGCCACUCUAUACUAUUUAUACAACAUGAAGUUUAUAACAAUAAAAAGGCAUUUACAUAUUAUACAACAACUUCUUCUUACUUCAUGGUUUAUGGGUAUCUAUUUUCAUAAAAAAAAACAAGUUGAUGAUGAUGAUGUGUGUGCCUUUGUGGCAUUUGUAUCGCCUGAUCCCAAACGGACGACUGAGAGUGAGAGGACCCCGCAUGUUGGACGAACUACCUGUUUCUAUUUCUCUCACAAAAGAAGCAGAAGCUUCCAGUAACGGCAUUACACGCGGUGGAAAUCUCUCGGUCUCUCUGUCGAUGCAAGAGGGGGUUUCCCGGCGGUUCGCCUCCGCUGGCGUCCCUCGCCUCCGAUAGCCGUCGGGCAUUGGGAGGGUGCAAGACCGUGUACGGCCGCAACACGGUUGGCGAUGUUGACGCUGUGGAAGAAGGUUCCUCUGGCUCCUUCCCCGUCAUGGCGGUGCUCUCUCUGGUGGUGCUGCAUGGAGUUGGGAUUUGUGGAGGGAUAUCCCCAGAUCCAAUUGCCGCGGACGACCAACUGCUGCAGAUUAUGAUGGGCGAAGUGGAUUGAGCUGUUGCUCCACUCCAUAGUAGGCUGGCGUUGGUGGCGGCUUCGAGGAUAGGGGAUCACUCGGUCUACCCCGGGCCAAUCCACCGAAACCCUCCCCGGUUCCUGUCUUUUGGGGCGGGACAUAGAUGUGGCUCACAAAGCCAUGGAUUGGCGAUGGUGAUUCUCAUGCCCGUUGUCUCAUGGACAACGACUCUUCCUUGCACAGGCGAGUGUAGAGAUAAGGGUCGAUGAAUAAUGAAUGGACUGGGUUGUAAGUUACUUUGUUUUCUCUGUUGGUGUUAUUCCUUUUUGUGUUGUCCCUGGUUCUGAACCUCCUAUUACAACAUUAUUAUCCAAUUUGGUGACACUGAAAUGAAUCUCGGUGGUACCGAGUUGCAUUAAAUGUGGCAA